UACGUAGGGUGCAAGCGUUAAUCGGAAUUACUGGGCGUAAAGCGUGCGCAGGCGGUUAUGUAAGACAGGUGUGAAAUCCCCGGGCUUAACCUGGGAACUGCAUUUGUGACUGCAUAGCUAGAGUACGGUAGAGGGGGAUGGAAUUUCGCGUGUAGCAGUGAAAUGCGUAGAUAUGCGGAGGAACACCGAUGGCGAAGGCAGCACUCUGGGCCGGCACUGACGAUGAGGAGCGAAAGCGUGGGGAGCGAACAGG
rnacentral:rRNA from 1 species